rnacentral:rRNA from 1 species
AUUGAACGCUGGCGGCAUGCUUUACACAUGCAAGUCGAACGGCAGCGCUUGCUUCGGCCUGGCGGCGAGUGGCGAACGGGUGAGUAAUACAUCGGAACGUGCCCAGUAGUGGGGGAUAGCUCUGCGAAAGCCGGAUUAAUACCGCAUACGACCUGAGGGUGAAAGCGGGGGAUCUUCGGACCUCGCGCUAUUGGAGCGGCCGAUAGCAGAUUAGCUAGUUGGUGGGGUAAAGGCCUACCAAGGCGACGAUCUGUAGCUGGUCUGAGAGGACGACCAGCCACACUGGGACUGAGACACGGCCCAGACUCCUACGGGAGGCAGCAGUGGGGAAUUUUGGACAAUGGGCGAAAGCCUGAUCCAGCAAUGCCGCGUGUGUGAUGAAGGCCUUCGGGUUGUAAAGCACUUUUGGCGGGAACGAAAAGGACUGUGCCAAUACCACGGUUCGAUGACGGUACCCGCAGAAUAAGCACCGGCUAACUACGUG